AGAGUUUGAUCAUGGCUCAGGAUGAACGCUAGCUACAGGCUUAACACAUGCAAGUCGAGGGGCAGCAUGACUGAAGCUUGCUUCAGUUGAUGGCGACCGGCGCACGGGUGCGUAAUCGCGUAUCGAAUCUGCCCGUUACUCGGGGAUAGCCUUGCGAAAGUAAGAUUAAUACCCGAUGUUGUCAUGAUGUCGCAUGACAUGAUGACCAAAGGUUUACCGGUAACGGAGGACGAUGCGUCUGAUUAGGUAGAUGGCGGGGUAACGGCCCACCAUGCCGACGAUCAGUAGGGGUUCUGAGAGGAAGGUCCCCCACAUUGGAACUGAGACACGGUCCAAACUCCUACGGGAGGCAGCAGUGAGGAAUAUUGGUCAAUGGACGAGAGUCUGAACCAGCCAAGUAGCGUGCAGGAUGACGGCCCUCCGGGUUGUAAACUGCUUUUAGUUGGGAAUAAAAAAGGUGACGUGUCAUCUAUUGUAUGUACCACCAGAAAAAGGACCGGCUAAUUCCGUGCCAGCAGCCGCGGUAAUACGGAAGGUCCAGGCGUUAUCCGGAUUUAUUGGGUUUAAAGGGAGCGUAGGCGGAGAGAUAAGUCAGCGGUAAAAUCGUGCGGCUCAACCGUACCUCGCCGUUGAUACUGUUUUUCUUGAGUGCACACAGGGAUGCUGGAAUUCGUCGUGUAGCGGUGAAAUGCUUAGAUAUGACGAAGAACUCCGAUCGCGAAGGCAGGUGUCCGGGGUGCAACUGACGCUGAGGCUCGAAAGUGCGGGUAUCAAACAGGAUUAGAUACCCUGGUAGUCCGCACAGUAAACGAUGAAUGCUCGCAGUAUGCGAUACACUGUAUGCUGCUC
rnacentral:rRNA from 1 species